rnacentral:rRNA from 1 species
GAUGAACGCUGGCGGCGUGCCUAAUACAUGCAAGUCGAGCGAACAGACGAGGAGCUUGCUCCUCUGACGUUAGCGGCGGACGGGUGAGUAACACGUGGAUAACCUACCUAUAAGACUGGGAUAACUUCGGGAAACCGGAGCUAAUACCGGAUAAUAUAUUGAACCGCAUGGUUCAAUAGUGAAAGACGGUUUUGCUGUCACUUAUAGAUGGAUCCGCGCCGCAUUAGCUAGUUGGUAAGGUAACGGCUUACCAAGGCAACGAUGCGUAGCCGACCUGAGAGGGUGAUCGGCCACACUGGAACUGAGACACGGACCAGACUCCUACGGGAGGCAGCAGUAGGGAAUCUUCCGCAAUGGGCGAAAGCUUGACGGAGCAACGCCGCGUGAGUGAUGAAGGUCUUCGGAUCGUAAAACUCUGUUAUUAGGGAAGAACAAAUGUGUAAGUAACUAUGCACGUCUUGACGGUACCUAAUCAGAAAGCAACGGCUAACUACGUG